UACGGGGGGGGCAAGCGUUGUUCGGAAUUACUGGGCGUAAAGGGCUCGUAGGUGGCCAACUAAGUCAGACGUGAAAUCCCUCAGCUUAACUGGGGAACUGCGUCUGAUACUGGAUGGCUUGAGUUUGGGAGAGGGAUGCGGAAUUCCAGGUGUAGCGGUGAAAUGCGUAGAUAUCAGGAAGAACACCAAUGGCGAAGGCAGCUCUCUGGGACGGUACUGACGCUGAGACGCGAAAGCGUGGGGAGCGAACAGG
rnacentral:rRNA from 1 species